UAGGGAAUCUUCGGCAAUGGACGAAAGUCUGACCGAGCAACGCCGCGUGAGUGAAGAAGGUUUUCGGAUCGUAAAACUCUGUUGUUAGAGAAGAACAAGGACGUUAGUAACUGAACGUCCCCUGACGGUAUCUAACCAGAAAGCCACGGCUAACUACGUGCCAGCAGCCGCGGUAAUACGUUGGUGGCAAGCGUUGUCCGGAUUUAUUGGGAGUAAAGCGAGCGCAGGCGGUUUCUUAAGUCUGAUGUGAAAGCCCCCGGCUCAACGGGGGAGGGUCAUUGGAAACUGGGAGAAUUGAGUGCAGAAGAGGAGAGUGGAAUUCCAUGUGUAGCGGUGAAAUGCGUAGAUAUAUGGAGGAACACCAGUGGCGAAGGCGGCUCUCUGGUCUGUAACUGACGCUGAGGCUCGAAAGCGUGGGGAGCAAACAGG
rnacentral:rRNA from 1 species